GUGGGUGUGACAAAGUAUAACCAAACUGCGUAUGUGCAUUUCUCAGACUUCAGAAGAGGAAACAUCAGAGUAGAGUCCGACAAAAACUGAUACAUCUGAGUAUUUUGAAACCCAGAACACCAACCACGGUAAGACCUUUCUGUUUCUGGUUCAACCCUAGAAAUCUAUCUUAGAUAAGUUAGUGUAAUAUUUGGCUGUAAGUCAAAGUUAAAAAACAAAAUACGGUUUCUUUAACACUGUUAAAUCUUCACUAAAGAGCUUAAGUUAAGUUCAGCAAAAUGUCUUAAGUCAAAAAUACAAUGAAAAAAAACAUAAUUAAAAGAGUCCUAAUUAUAAAAUGGUUGAUAAUUAAUGUAAGAAAAAUGUUUUAAAAGGCCAAAAUAAAAGGUAGUAAGUCACAGUUGUAAGGUGGUAAGUUAAGAUUAAGAGUCAUAAUUAUAAAAUGACUUCAAAGUUAUAAGAAAAAUGAGAAAUAUAUAUCACAAUCUUAAGACAAAUAUAACUAUAUGAUAGAAAGUCAUAAUAUCAAGACAGUGAGUUAUGACUGGGAAAUUUUUCAGAAUUAUCACAAAAAAAUAAAGCUAUAACAUAGUCAUAAAAUUGUAAGUUACAAUUAUGAAAGUAUGUCAUGAUUAUAACAGAGUCAGAGUUAUAAGAGAGAACAUUGUGAUUAUAAGAAAAGUUUAAAUUAUGAAACAUUUUGAUGAGCCUGUCAUCAAAUCAAAUAUACAGACUGUUCAUGAAAACAAAGACUGCCUGAAUGAAAGGGUAUGUUUGAUUAUCAAAUUAAUGAAGAUGUCUCAGAGCUGAAACUUUUAGAGAGGACUUCAGCAGUUUACACAGAGAUGUCCUGAACUGAUUUUUAUAUGAUUUGGCAUGAACAAUAAGAUGCCACAUUUUGCUGUUUCUAUCCUAGAAAGUCUGUGUAGAUGAGACCUGAGAUUUUCAACAGCAUUUACAGAGGCUGGUAGCUUAUUUACACUCUACUGACCUGAAGAGCUGCUUUACUUUUACUUUCAUUCUGACUCAAGAGCUUGUUAUCUUGACGACCAUUCCCCAGUGUGUCUUUAAAUGGUCACGUGAAAUUAAGAGUGAUUACACAGUGCCAAUAUAAACAGAGUUUUCUCAACUUUUUUUCCCUCUGCAGCCAUGGGAGGUGAGGAGUCAAAGCCUGUCCCAGAGCCAAGUAAUAUUAUUUUUGAAUAUUAAAUAAAUCUUUUAUCAAAAUACAAUUUCAGGGAAAAAUUCUGACAAAACCUAAAUUUGUUUUUCUUUCAGUGUUCAGUGAGCCAUGGCGGCAACUCAACUGGAUGUAAGUACUCUCUAAUGUCUAAUGUGCUAUUUUCCUAAAUCACUGGGUGUGUGAUUUACAAAGUGCCAGUGGAUAUACAAAACCAAAUCCUGACAGCAAAGGGUUAACUUUUUGGGGUUUAUUCAGAGUAACGUUUUCUUUUUUUAAACUCUUUGGUUUAUUCCUCUGCUUUGUUUUUAUGUAUGUCUGUGUUUACCUGGGUAAGCACUUAGUAAACCUUUUUGAAAGGUGCAGUAUAAAUACAUUAAUUAUUGGUGUUAUUAUUAUUAUUACAAUUAUAAUUACUAUAUCUGUUAUUAUUAUCUCUGUAAUUACUCAGCUACCAACUAAAUAAACAAAUAAGUUAGCUCCAAGAAUUGAUUAAAAGAUGAUUUUGUUGGUUUAAAAAUGAUUCACUUAUAUUCCUUCAGUUUUAAUGUUUGGUGCUAGUUCAUGCUCACUGCACACCUCUCUUUUGUCAAACUUGUGUCUCUGAUUUUCUGACCUCUGCAAACACACACCUGGCUCCUCCUCCUGCUGUCCUCUCCCCACACAUGGCUGCAUGACAGUUUGAACUGCUGCUGCACAAAGAGCUACAGAUACAUCAGUCUAUGUCCACCUUUUACAACAUCAGCAAAUUACAUGUGCACACAGCUGUGCUGCAAAUUUAUCUGCUCAAAUAAAAAGUGAAGAUUUUUAAAAAGAAUUUAAAAAAGGAUAGGUCUGAGUUAAAGAAUUUCACUCUUGCAAAAAGGAGCAGUCACAAACAGAAAGUCUGUAAGCAAGUGCUCAGAGGACUGUACUCUGACUUUGUUUUAGACACAGGGCGUUAUCAGUUUACAUCAGUCAUAUCGAAACAUAAUCAUCCAUAACAAGCUGUUCACAACUUUCUUUGUUUUGCAGACUGGGUUCAGCUUUUGUUUCCCAGCCUUGACUCAGGGUCAGAACAGAGAUAGACAGUAACAGUGUGUUGCUCAGCAUAUUUCUAUAAAAGCUGUCCUUAAAUUACCUUUGAUGACAUGAGUACAUGUACAAGGACUGGAUAAGAAGAUAUUUGUCCAGAAUCACUACUCAGUGUUCCAACAAAGUAAAUGUUCAGCUUCACAAUGCAAAGAAACUCUUUGCAGCCUGUUCAGCACAAUCGAAUGAGAGUAACCAAGCCCCCAUAUAUCCUGACGUCCAACUGUGUGCACUACCAACAUAAAACACAUAAGAACUAAUGUGGGACUUUUAUGAGAUAGUCACAUGACAGUAUGUGUGUGCACUGACACCUCUCCUGAGCCAUCCUUUCUCUCCCUUCAUAGUUUCACAUCCUGCACUGAAUGUGCACCACGUCAUUAUGCAAAACUAAAAAAAGUUGUGGUUGUUAUCAUUUUAUGUCACACAUCUUUCCUCCUCUGAACAGGGACAGACAAGGCAUUCUGGACUAUGUGAAGAACUACAACCCAAGGACCCCAGGGCAGCAGAUCAGAAUUCUUCUUCAUGGGCCAAAUGCAAGUGGAAAGUCCAGUUUCAUCAACUCUGUUAACAGUCUCUUACGUGCAAGACCGUACAUCAACGCUUUAGCAGACAACACCCACGGCGAAAGUUUUACCAAAGUGGUAUGAUGACUUUUUUGUUGUAACAUAAAGGAAAUGUCUCAAAUUUGUAAUGAUAAUGAAAAAUCUACUAACUCCCAGUGCAUGCCUUGUGUCAUAAUAAUCUUUACUUUUAUUACUUAAAGGGAUGGUUUAGUGGUUUCCAAGUGUGGUCAUUUCAGGUGCUCGUCAAUGUUAAGUGUAUUUGCCAAAGGGAUCCCAGUGACUUGGGCCCCCUUUGCUGAGAAACCACAUAGAGGACUACUACAGGUGGGCUCAGCUCCACCAAGUGAUUUCAAUCAUUUUAAAUCCCAACCAAGGGUUGAGGGUGCUGUUCUUGCAGUGGCUUUACCCAGUGAGGAGGCAGACAACAUCCAUUCUAUAUACAGUCUAUGGGCACAACCAAGAAAUUGAGGCUACAAGAUCCUUAAAGGUUAGCUGGUCAUCAAUCAUGACACUACAGUUUCCAGACAUACUUUGCGUGCAUCAGUUUCUCUGAUCCAAACUGGGUAUCAGUCUGAGUCAAAUGUGGUGUUUCUUCAUCCAUUCAGUCAUAUCACAAAAGCAUAAUGAGAUUUUAGUUGAAAGAGUUGUGUGAGUGUGACAGAAAGAGACGGGUAUUGUCUGCAUAGUAAUUGUUGUUGGCCUGAAAGAAAAAAAAUUCACUUGGACAGUUUUAAGGGACUUACAGUAUCUCACAAAAGUGAGUACACCCCUCACUUUUCUGAAAAUAAUUAUAUCUUUUCAUGGAAUAACACUAAAGAAAUAACACUUUGACACAAAGUACAGUAGUCAGUGUACAGCUUGUGAAAUAGUAUAAAUUUAUUUUUCCCUCAAAAUAACUCAACACACAGCCAUUAAUGUGUACACCCCUGGCAAAAAAAGUGAGUACACCACUAAGUGAAAAUGUCCAAAUCGGGCCCAAAGUGUGAAUAUUUUGUGUGGCCGCCAUCAUUUACCAGCACUUACUUAACCCUCUUGGGCAUGAAGUUCACCAGAGCUUCACAGGUUGCCACUGAAGUCCUUUCACCUUCCCUUUAGGAUGCCCCACAGAUUCUUAAUAUGGUUUAUAACAGUCUUAGCCAACAUAGCACCAGCUAACUUACUGGCUUCUGUCAAUGAGCAUAAGUUCAGACUUUGAGUUUGAAAUCUAACAUGUAGGGGUAUCUAAUGUGGAGGAUUGAAUUCAUUCUGCUCUCAAUCUGUUCAUCUGCCACCUAUUUAGAUUUAAAGCUGCUUUUGGUCGUGAAUAGCAAAAUGUUAGAUUGUUGUGGGAUGCUGAGCUGCUCAGUGAAUACAUUGUUUAGAAGUCUUUAUUACUACUGAGAUGAAGUUAGUAUUAUUACUUUAUGUAAGAUCACGUAAAAGCUGAACAAGCCAAUAGUUAGUAUUUUUUGUAAUAAGAACAGUUUUUUUGUGUGAAGAGGGGUUGGAUUACUGGAUAAAAGAUGAUGGAGGUAAAUAUGUUUACUUUGUUUAAUGGAUGGGGACGAAAAUAUUUAAAAGAAAUCCUGUAUGGGGAAAAAGAUGCAUUGAUAAUCAUGAUAAUCGUUAAAAUCACAAUAAUCAUUGCAUUUGUUUGAUAAUCAAAUUUUAGCACCCUGAACUGGGAUCGCAUUAAAACGUUAGGUGCCCAAGAUGGCCCAACCCAACUAACUACACUCUCCUCCAUCUGUCUUUAAAAGUACAAAACCUACAAGAUCGACAAAGGGACCCCAGGGGCAUAUUACCCUUUUGUGUUCAAUGACAUCAUGGGCCUGCAAAACAGUAGAGGGGUCCUUCCAGAUGAUGUCAAACUGGCUCUGAAAGGACAUGUCAUGGAAAAUUACGAGGUACAUUUACUGCAAACUUUGCACAUUUUUCUUCCAAAAAGAUUUUAACGCAUCAUGUAUUAAAUCAGAAUUCUGUCUUUGUUAACAUGUGUUUCACUGUAAUGUUCUUCAAAUGAAUUUAAAACUGUUUUCCAGUUCAAUCCUGAAUCCAUGUUGACUGAGGAGAAUCAGUUCUAUAAACAAUAUCCGUCUGAGGAUGACAAAGUGACGGUUCUGGUUUGUGUUGUUAAUGCCCACAACAUGUCCAUAAUAAAAGAUGAAACUCUGAGAAUGUUAUGUGACAUCAGGAAGGAAGCCAGUCGCCUGGGUAAGACCAGAAAAACUUUUCCAAUAUUUUUCUCAAGAGUUAGAUAAAACUUUGAAAAAAAAAACACAGUUUAAUUCUUGACAGAUCUUCAAACAGUUCCUCUAGCUGAUUUUGAUAUAUGUAUCUGAAGGAGAACAGUGGCUUUUGAAAUGUUUUUUUCUUUCAUGGGACUCAAAGUUUUGUGUUUGACAGGAAUCCCUCAAGUGGCCAUCCUCACCCACAUUGAUGAGGUCUGUCCUGAAGUCAAGAAAGAUUUAAAAGAUGUCUACAAGUCCAUCUUACUGAAGAAGAAGGUAUGCUUACUUGUUGAUUUCAUGAUUUUGUAAAGAAGGAAUCACACUUUAAAAAGUAGUCUACAAAUGACACACCACUGGGCUCUGUUGCUCAGCACUGUUUUUUCUGCCACAAUGCUGCAGUUAGAUCAGGUGAUGAAAAAAUGAAGAACAUCAAAAAUUCUAAUUUAUACAAAUAAAUCAAGAAUUAAAUCCAAACCAGAUCUGAAUCUUUGUCCUGUAGUCAGGAUGACAGGAACAGCUCAGUAUCAUCUACAUAGCAGUGAUAUGAGAAUCCACAAGUAUGUAUUAGUGCACUUAGUGGGUUGGACUUCUCCUCUCCGUGAUAACCAAAAAGAUUCCCCUUUGAGUCAGGACACAGACCUAGAGGCCCCACCUAAAGCCAGACUGUAGUCUCCUUCCAAAGUCCUGAACUCCUCGUUUUAGUCCUUCUAAAGUCCCCAUGCUCUAAUAGAGGUCACUCAGAGUCCUUUUCUCCUCAGAGAGGUCAUUUGAAAACCCUGAUAUCCUCAUGGAGGUUAUUCCAAAGUCACUACAUUUCACCCAAACACUCUGAUUGGCAGUGACUGUCCUGAUCAGACCAACCAGGAAACCAGAGACAUGUAGUCCAGAUCCAGUCUUUAUUUGAGACCAGUGUUUUUCUGUCAAAACAUGUAGAGACACCAGGCUAGUAUCAUCGACUCUGAGUUUAAUUGAAUAGAUAAAUGAAACAGCCAUUCUAAAUCAGGCCUCAUUACCUCUUGUUCUGAAGAUCAGCUGCUCAUAAUUCAAAUUUGUUUCACUAGAUGGAGGAGUUCAGUGCAAAGGUGGGGAUCCCGAUGAACUGCAUCUUCCCUGUGAAGAACUACCAUGACGAGAUUGACACCAACAAUGACCUUGAUGUUCUGCUCCUGAGUGCUCUGAAAAACAUCAUCAUCUUUGGAGAAGACUACCUUAACCCCUAACUGCAGUAUUCAGCUGUGUGAUCCAUGCUGCUGAAACCCACAGAGCUAAAUAUUAAAUGUAAUGACCAUUUAAGGUAAUAUUGAAUCAUUGCUUUCUGAAGUGUCUCUUUACUAUGUGCCAAAGUUGAGCUUUAUGUGAUCAGCUUAGCAAACUUUUUUCUGCUUUCAGUGAGUUUAUAGUUCUCUCUUGCUUCUGUGAUUUUUACUCUAUGAAGUUUUAAAAAAAUGCAAAAUUUGAUUUCAAAUGUAUUCAAGACUUUACAUUCACAAUAAGAAACAGACCUUCUUGGUCUAAACUCCUGUCUUACAUUUGUCUUUAUUUUUGGUGUCAAUCAGUAAAACCUGAAUUAAUUAUGUUAUUGCAUAGUGAGUUACAUGUUAAAAUAUUUUUUAAAAACAUGGUAAGAAUAUCUUUGCCUUGAGUUUGUAAUGACCUUCAUGACCUCAGACUUGUUUAGUCAGACAAUUUGGUUUUUAAGUAGACCGAACAAGAUGGAGCAGAGUGUAACGCCACAAAGCUCCAGCAGAGGGCAGCAGGCUGUCAUCUUCUGAAGCUUUACCCUCUGUUAGGGGCUCACAUGAAAUCUCUGAGAGUUCAUGCAGAUCUACAUUUGAGACAAAAUCAAAUUUGUAAUUUUCAUGUUCUGUCAUGAAAUUACUAAAUUUUUUAGGGGUCCAGCUUGAGAUCACAAAGAGUGGGACAAAUAUACAGGAAGUGCUUACCAUCAAAUGUAAAUCAAGGAUGUGACUUUAGUCAUCAGUUUCUGGUCACUCGUCUUGUACUACGGUUUUCAUAUUCUGUCCAUAAAUGAACAAAGUUUGGUUACAGUUUGUCUCAGUGUACCACCCCAGUUCAAAAAAGUAAAGACACCAUGUGAAAUUGGAUCAAAAAUAGGUCUUGGACAAGAUAUUAAUGCUGACACUGAAACAUUUGAUCAUUUGAUGAAAAAUACGUUGGUUUGUUUUUAAGUUUGAUGGUAGCAGUACAUUUCAAAAAGUUGGAUGAGGACAACAAAACUCUGAAUACGUCGUUUAAUGCUAAAAACAUCAGCUGGAGGAACAUCUCCAACUAAUGAGGUUAAUUUCCAACAGGUUAGUAACAUGAGUGAGUAUAAAAAAGACAUUCAGAGAGACGGAGUCUCUCAGAAGGAAAGAUGGGAAGAGGUUCACCACUCUGUGAGAGACUGCAUGAGCUAAUAGUUGAAAAGUUUCAGAAUAAUGUCCCUGAGUGUCAAAUUUGAAAGAAUGAGUGGAUUUCAUUAUCUACACUGCAUAAUAUCAUUGGCUCUUGUAGUAUACCAUGUUUAUUUUCUCAAAAGUCAUGUUUCAAAACAAGAGAUUUCACAAGACGUGUAUGGUGCAUUUCGUUCAGCUCACCAUUCUACACUGUGUACAAUGCACACCGAGAACAGUGUAGCGAUAGGAAUGAAUAACAAGUGUCCUGAGAUAAUAAUCUUAAAUCAUGACAUUUAUGCACUCAUUGAAAGGGGCACGACCCACCUUAAUGACGGUAGAAAUAAAGAAAAACAAAGGUUUAAUUCAGAAAUCAAACAUUAAGUUAAUCUUAAAUCAAUUUUAAAUCAAUCUCAUAUCUCAAGCCGACAUUCUCAUUUCAGGAACUCCACUUCUGGAAGAACACUAACAGACAAGAACUUAGAAAAAUAAUGUUCGGUUUAUCGCCGGGUAAAUACUGGUCCAACACACAUGCAGUAAAUGAUGAUAAGAUAAUGAGGAUAAAUAAUGAAAGAUGAAUGAAAGAUUCUGAGUCAGGCUAUGAUUUCUAAAGUUAAUGAUAGUGUGUGAAUACGCUCUAACAUAUUAACCUACAUUAACUUUGGUGUAGAGAUAAAUUUGGAUGUGGAUCUGGAUGAAUUUAGGAUUACUCAAAUUAGCGAUUAUUUGAAUCAUGAACGCACUUAAUCUUGGAUUGCUAUGUGCACAAAAGUAGCUGAAGUUGUUUUGUUUUGUGUAGCGCUGCGUAAGUCAAAUCCACUGCACCGAUGAGGCGUGCCCAAGCACACUUCGGUAUUUUGGUGAGCAGCGCAGCCCGGAUUUAGUAUCUCCCCUCCCUAACUCAGCUCCUCCCAGCGGUGUAAGUAGUACAGAGGGAGGGGAUAAGGCAUGGAGUGGGUUUGACACAGCCGAGUCCUGUUUUCACCAAUCACAUCAGCUCCUCUCCUCACCUUUAAAUCCGCCACCACGAGGCAUUUUACAAUUUUCAUCAAGUGGUUUGAAAGAUCAGGAGAUGGCUGAAGACAGCAAUGCAACACAAUGGCGACAGAAGGCAGCCCCUCAACAAGUGUCACUGUAAGCACUGCAGAGGGCAUCCUCCACACUCUCUCAUAUCACACGUCCCGGGUGGAAGCGAGAAGACUGACGCAACAGCAGACUGACUGUUUGCAGUUCCGAUUAGACAACAGCGUUGAGAUGACUGUCUGUAGCAUGUAGCAUACUAUUCUGCUGGUCACCCAAGGUUUGCUGUUGGAGAAACACCGUAUUUUCCUGGUGGGUACGGUGUUAUCAACACAGAAGUUUAUAUCGUCCGUGACAAUCUGUCAUGGUGUCGAUGUCAUCACCAUGUGGGCCGCACAGUACAUCCCAGUCUGUAGUCUCAAAACAGUCCUGCAACACCUCAGUCAUACCCAAAGUUUUAUUGUCUCUCGUUGGGCAGUUGGGCCAGAGAUGAUGAUCAGAGACUGAGGGUGUGAUGUUUGUAGCUUGGACACUUCACUAUGGAGGAGUUCACAGGCUGCAGCAGCAUCAGCCGAGGGGAGGAAAAGAUGUCAUCACAUCUUUGUCAUCUUUGUCAAGAUGUGAUGACAAAUGUUUAUCUGAUCGAGUGGUCCUGCAGUUCUUUCCUGCUGGCCAUAAACGAUUCUGUCUCUGUCUCUGUCUCUUUGAAGUGGAAAGGUUUGUCUUUUUGAGAAGGCUUCUUUGUUUGUCUUGUAUAGAGACAGGAGGUUUUACAAAGAUUGUGAUUUGGUGUUAAAGGUCUAAAACAUCUUGUCUCUGGUGAGCAGAUGUAAGCCUUACAUUCCUUUGGGGGGUUGUGUUAAAAAAGUGGUCACCUCUGCUACAACAGAGAGGCAGGAGGAGAAAGAGAAACUAAAAUCGACAGGAUAGGAAAUCCUGUGGCUGUGACAAAGUAUAACCAAAUUGCGUAUGUGCAUUUCUCAGACUUCAGAAGAGGAAACAUCAGAGUAGAGUCCGACAAAACUGAUACAUCUGAGUAUUUUGAAACCCAGAACACCAACCACGGUAAGACCUUUCUGUUUCUGGUUCAACCCUAGAAAUCUAUCUUAGAUAAGUUAGUGUAAUAUUUGGCUGUAAGUCAAAGUUAAAAAAACGAAAUACGGUUUCUUUAACACUGUUAAAUCUUCACUAAAGAGCUUAAGUUAAGUUCAGCAAAAUGUCUUAAGUCAAAAAUACAAUGAAAAAAACAUAAUUAAAAGAGUUCUAAUUAUAAAAUGGUUGAUAAUUAAUGUAAGAAAAAUGUUUUAAAAGGCCAAAAUAAAAGGUAGUAAGUCCCAGUUGUAAGGUGGUAAGUUAAGAUUAAGAGUCAUAAUUAUAAAAUGACUUCAAAGUUAUAAGAAAAAUGAGAAAUAUAUAUCACAAUCUUAAGACAAAUAUAACUAUAUGAUAGAAAGUCAUAAUAUCAAGACAGUGAGUUAUGACUGGGAAAUUUUUCAGAAUUAUCACAAAAAAAUAAAGCUAUAACAUAGUCAUAAAAUUGUAAGUUACAAUUAUGAAAGUAUGUCAUGAUUAUAACAGAGUCAGUGUUAUAAGAGAGAACAUUGUGAUUAUAAGAAAAGUUUAAAUUAUGAAACAUUUUGAUGAGCCUGUCAUCAAAUCAAAUAUACAGACUGUUCAUGAAAACAAAGACUGUCUGAAUGAAAGGGUAUGUUUGAUUAUCAAAUUUAAUGAAGAUGUCUCAGAGCUGAAACUUUUAGAGAGGACUUCAGCAGUUUACACAGAGAUGUCCUGAACUGAUUUUUAUAUGAUUUGGCAUGAACAAUAAGAUGCCACAUUUUGCUGUUUCUAUCCUAGAAAGUCUGUGUAGAUGAGACCUGAGAUUUUCAACAGCAUUUACAGAGGCUGGUAGCUUAUUUACACUCUACUGACCUGAAGAGCUGCUUUACUUUUACUUUCAUUCUGACUCAAGAGCUUGUUAUCUUGACGAUCAUUCCCCAGUGUGUUUUUAAAUGGUCACGUAACAUCAAGAGUGAUUACACAGAGCCGAAGGAAAAGAGAUGUUAUCAAACAGUUUUUCAAAUGAACUUUGUUUGAGAGCCAAGGCAUCUUUUUUAAGUGGACUUUCUAUUUAAAAGUUUGCAUGUUCAGGAAUACUGUUCAACUCAUUUUGAUUUCAUUGAUUAACUUAUUUGUAUAGAAAGAGGACAGGAAAGCACUCACAGGGUAAUGUUUUGGAUUUUUUCAAAUGUAACCCAGAGAUUUCUUACAAGGAUUUUUUUUUCACAGUUUUCUAGGCUAAUUAUGAUUUUCAGGAAAUAUAAGCAGUUAUUUCCUUUUUUUUCUCUGCAGCCAUGGGAGGGUUGUAUUCAUACUUUCCAGAGCCAAACCCUGAUCCAGAGCCAUGUAAUAUUAUUUUUGAAUAUUAAACAAAUCUUUUAUCAAAAUAAAAUUUUUUGGAAAAAUUCUGACUAAACCUAAAAUUUGUUUUACUUUCAGUGUUCAGUGAGCCAUGGCGGCAACUCAACUGGAGGUAAGUGCUCUCUAAUGUACUAUUUUCCUAAAUCCCUGGGUGUGUGAUUUACAAAGUACCAGUGGAUAUACAAAACCAAAUCCUGACAGCAAAGGGUUAAGAUUCUGAGUUAAGAUCUGUUUUUUGUUGUUGUUGUUGUUGUUUUUUAACUCUCUCGUUUACUCCUCUGCUUUGUUCUUAUGUAUGUCUGUGUUUACCUGGGUAAGCACUUAGUAAACCUUUUUGAAUGGUGCAGUAUAAAUACAUUGGUUAUUAGUAUUAUUAAUAUUACCAUUAAAAUUACUAUAACUGUUAUUAUUAUCCCUGUAAUUACUCAGCUACCAACUAAAUAAACAAAUAAGUUAGCUCCAAGAAUUGAUUAAGAGAUGAUUUUGUUGGUCUAAAAAUGAUUCACUUUUACUCCUUCAGUUUUAAUGUUUGGUGCUAGUUCAUGCUCACUGCACACUUCUCUCUUGUCAAACUUGUGUUUCUGCUUUUCUGACAUAUGCAGACACACACCUUCCUCCUCCCCCCACUAUCCUCUCCCCACACAUGGCUGCAUGACAGUUUGCACUGCUGCUGCAAAAAGAGCUCAAGAUACAUCAGUCUAUGUCCACCUUUUGCAAUAUCUGCAAAUUCCAUGUGCACACAACUCUGCUGCACAUUUAUCUGAGCUAAUAAAAAGUGAAAAUGUUAUGAAGAAUUUAAAAAAGGAUAGGUCUCAGUUAAAGAUUUUUCUUCUUGCAAGAAAGAGCAGUCACAAACAGAGAGUCUGUAAGCAAAUGCUCAGAGGACUGUCCUCUGACUUUUUUUAGACACAGGGCAUUACCACUUAACAUCAGUCAUAACGAAAGCAUGCUCAUCCAUGACAAACUGUUGGCAACUCUUGCUUUCUUUGUUUUGCAGACUGGGUUCAGCUUUUGUUUCUCAGCCUUGACUCAGGGUCAGAACAGAGAUAGACAGUAACAGUGUGUUGCACAGUAUAUUUCUAUAAGAGCUGUCCUUAAAUUACCUUUGAUGACAUGAGUACAUGUACAAGGACUGGAUAAGAAGAUAUUUGUCCAGAGUCACCAUUCAUAGUUCCCCCAUACAUCUGGAAGUCCAUCUGUGUGCACUACUUACAUAAAACACAUAAGAACUAAUGUGGGACUUUUAUGAGAUAGUCACAUGACAGUUUGUGUGUACACUGACACCUCGCCUGAUCCAUCCUUUCUCUCCCUCCAUAGUUUCACAUCCUGCACUGAAUGUGCGUCACUUAAUUAUGCAAAACUAAAAUAAUGUGUGGUUGUUAUCAUUUUAUGUCACACAUCUUUCCUCCUCUGAACAGGGACAGACGAGGCAUUCUGGACUAUUUGAAGAACUACAAACCUAAGACCCCAGAACAAGUGAUCAGAAUUCUUCUUUAUGGGCCACCUGGAAGUGGAAAGUCCAGUUUCAUCAACUCUGUUAACAGUCUCUUACGUGAAAGACCGUACAUCAACGCUUUGGCAAGCCAUAACUACAGCAGAAGUUUCACCACAACGGUAUGACAACUUUUUUGUUGUAACAUAAAGGAAAUGUCUCAAAUUUGUAAUGAUAAUGAAAAAUCUACUAACUCCCAGUGCAUGCCUUUUGUCAUGAUAAUCUUUACUUUUAUUACUUUAAGGGAUGAUUUAGUUGUUUUCAAGUGUGUUAAUUUCAGGUGCUCGUCAAUGUUAAGUGUAUUUGCCAAAGGGAUCCCACAUGACUUGGGCCCCCUUUGCUGAGAUACCACAUAGAGGACUACUGCAGGUGGGCUCAGCUCCAACAAGUGAUUUCAAUCAUUUUAAUCCCCAACCAAAGCACUAAUUUUGGUGUCCACUCUAGGUGAGACUUCAAAAUCAAAGUGUUGCCUUGAUUCACAGAGAUCUUCUACCACAAUCUGUGGUUGGCUUGUUCAUACUGCAGUAUGUCUUUUAUUUAGCUUCAUGGGAAAAAGUCAUGUUAUAGAGGGCUAAAAGGCACAACCAAGCAAUUGAGGCUACAAGAUCCUUAAAGGUUAGCUGGUCAUCAAUCAUGACACCCUAGUUUCCGGACAGACUUUCUGUGCAUGAGUUUCUCUGAUUCAAACUGGGUAUCGGUCAGAGUCGAAAAUGGUGUUUCUUCAUCCAUUCUGAGAUAUCAGAAAAGCAUCAUGAGAUUUGAGCUGAAAGAGUUGUGUGUGGAUGACAGAAAGAGCUGGGAAUUGUCUGCAUAGUAAUUGUACAAAAAACAAUGAGAGACAAUAAUUACGCCAAGAAGGAAUGAAGACUUGAGUUUUAGACUUGGACUUGAGUCCAACUUACGUCGUAUACAGGACAGGCCAAAAGUUUGGACACACCCUCUCAUUUAAUGCAUUUUCUUUAUUCUCAUUACUAUUUGUACUGUAGAUUCUCACUGAGGGCAUCAAAACUAUGAAUGAACAUAUGUGGAAUCAUGUGCUUAAGAAAAAAGUGUGAAAUAACGGAAAACAUGUUUAAGUUUUAGAUUCCUCAAAGUAGCCACCCUUUGCUUUUUUGAUAGCGCUGCAAACUUUUGCUGUUCUCUCAAUGAGCUUCAUGAGGUAGUCACCUGUAUUGGUUUUUACUUCACAGGUGUGCCUUUACCAAGUACUUCUGUCAUCAAGAGCAAAGGGUGGCUAUUUUAUCACACCUGAUUUUCAGCUUCUGGUGCAUGAGCAUCCACACAUAGACUAUAACUAAGAAGGCCACUCAAGCAUAUUUAUUGCCCAAUUUUAGCCUUUUUUCAUCCCCAUGAGAUCUCUGUCCUGAAAUUAAAAUGAUCACUCAUUACCCCUGUGCAUGUUGGGAAAGUUCUGAUGAGAGAUGUAGGCCCCACCUUUUAAUGUUGGCAAAUGACUGUGGUCACAGUCUCAGAGAUAGCUUUGCACUUUCAUUCGUGGCUAUACAAUUCUUAUUUUGCUAUUUUUUAAUCUAUGGGAGACUGGACUGGAUCUUGCUGUUCAGAGACUUUGACUUGGACUCAGAGAAUGAAGAGGAAAGAUUUAAAUUAGGGGUGGGCCAAUGCAUCAGUUCUUCAAUGCAUCACGAUGGAACACGUGACGAUCAAUUAGGAUUAAAAAAUAUUCAAAGUUGAUUAUUUCCCAUGACGUUGAAAUUACAGAAACACCAGUAAGUGUUUAUUUGAGCAGCUUUUUAGGUGAAAAAAAGUGUUGGAUCAUUGGUCUAUUAAAAAUAAUAUAAUGGAGGUAAAUUUGUUUACUUUGUUUUAUGGAUGCUGACAAAUAUAUUUUUAAAAAUCCUGUAUAGAAAAAAUAUGCAUUAAUAAUUCUAAUAAUCUUUAAAAUCAUAAUAAUCAUUACAAUUGUUUGAUUAUCAAAUUGUAGCACCCUGAAUUGUGAUCGGAUUGAAUUGUUAGGUGCCAAAGAUGGCUAACCUCAACUCACUACACUCUCCUCCAUCUGUCUUUAAAAGUUCAAAACCUACAGGAUCCACAAAGGGACCUCAGGGGAAUAUUACCCUUUUGUGUUCAAUUACAUCAUGGGCCUGGAAAACAGUGGAGGGGUCCAUCCAGAUGAUGUCAAACUGGCUUUGAAAGGACAUGUCAUGGAAAAUUACGAGGUACAUUUACUGCAAACUUUGCACAUUUUUCCUCCAAAGAGAUUUAAAUGCACCAUUUAUUAAAUCAGAAUUCUGUCUUAGUUAACAUGUGUUUCAAUCUAAUGUUCUUCAAAUGAAUUGAAAACUGUUUUCCAGUUCAACCCUGAAUCCAAGUUGACUGAGGAGAAUCCGUUCUUUGUCCAAAAUCCAUCUGGGAAUGACAAAGUGAAUGUUCUGGUUUGUGUUGUUGAUGCCUGCCCGAUAUCCCUAAUAGAAGAUGAAACUCUGAGAAAGUUACGUGACAUCAGGAAGGAAGCCAUUCGCCUGGGUAAGAACAGAAAAACUUUUCCAAUAUUUUUCUCAAGGGCUAGACAAAACUUAGAAAAUAAAAACACAGUUUAAACUUUGACAGAUCUUCAAACAGUUCCUCUACCUGGUUUUGAUUUAUGUAUCUGAAGAAGAACAGUGGCUUUUGAAAUAUUUUUUCUCUCAAGGGACUCAAAGUUUUGUGUUUGACAGGGAUCCCUCAAGUGGCCAUCCUCACCCACAUUGAUGACGUCUGUCCUGUCAACAAAGAUUUAAAAACCGUCUACAGGUCCAGGUUUCUGAAGAAGAACGUAUGCUUACUUGUUGAUUUCAUAAUUUUUUUAAGAGGGAAUCAUACUUUAAAAAAGUAGUCUACAAAUAACACACCACUGGGCUCCUUCGCUCAGCACUGAUUUUUGAUUAAAAAUCAUAAUUUAUAAAAAUAAAUCAAUAAAAAUGAUUAUAAAAAUAGUGUUUUUAUCUUUUAAAACCAAAGUUGAUUAAAUACUUUGACAGAAAAACCCUUGCCCUCCCUAUGCAGGUCAUUCCACAGACCUUAGUGGGCACAAGUUCAUUUGAUCCAAGCCAGAUCUGAAUCUGUGUCCUCUAGUCAGGAUGACAGGAAGAGCUCAGUAUCAUCUGCAUAGCAGUGAUUUGAGAAUUCAUGAGUUUGGAUUAGUGCACUGAGUGAGAUUGUGUAUGAUACCCUAGAACAGUGGUUCUUAACCGGGGUUCUAUCGAACCCUAGGGGUUCGGUGAGUCGGUCUCAGGGGUUCGGCGGAGCCUCCGCCGCGGUAGCCUGGCUGGGCCAUCCUGUUGCGUCAAUCACUUGAUGUUCCUUCCCACCACAGUCUGGACUUCGGCCCAUAGAGAGCAUGUAUUCCCAAUCAGAAAAUAACUGGGCCAAUCAGAGACCGUGUUUCCACUGUUACCCGGACAACAGGGAAAGGCAGCCCCUGAUUGGUCCAUGUGUAGUGGUGACGUCUAACACAUGCUGCAGGACUUUUCAAAGCGCUGUUCAUUCAGAACACCGUUAAUUCUGCAGUUGACUCUGCAAAGUCGGCAGAAAUCGUUUAAAUCAGCAGAAGACGUCGGAUAUAAACAAUGUCUUGAAUUUGGAAAAAAAUCAUAUUUAUUUAUCACUAAAGAAGGGUUCGGUGAAUGUGCAUUUGAAACUGGGGGGUUAGGUACCUCAAACAAGGUUAAGAACCACUGCCCUAGAAGAUUCCUUUUUGAGGAAGGACACAAACCUAGAGACCCCACCAAAAGCCAGGCUGUAAGGUCCUUCCAAAGUCCUGAACUCCUCGUCUUGGUCCUUUCAAAGUCCCCAUGCUCUAAUAGAGGUCACUCAGAGUCCUUUUCUCCUCAGAGAGGUCAUCUGAAAGCCCUGAUAUCCUCAUAGAGGUUACGCCAAAGUCACUACAUUUCACCCUGAUUGGCAGUGACUGUCCUGAUCAGGCCAACCAGGAAACCAGAGACAUAUAGUCCAGAUCCAGUCUUUAUUUGAGACCAGUGUUUUUCUGUCAAAACAUACAGUGGCACCAGACUAGUAUCAUAGACUCUGAGUUUAAUUGAAUAGAUAAAUGAAACAGCCAUUCUGAAUCAGGCCUCAUUACUUCUUGUUUUAAAGAAAGGUCACUGCUCUUCCUUCUUUAAAAUUCAGCUGCUAUUAUCUGCUUAUAAUAAUCAGAUCUAAACCUCUUUGGUCCAAUUGAUCAGCAGUACAGUGCGCAUUCAACUGUGUUGUGAUUUUACAGAGCUCUGGGCUGUAAUGUUUACUGAGAGAAUUUGAGCUUUUGUUUAAAUUUGUUUCACUAGAUGGAGGAGCUCAGUGCAAAGAUGGGGAUCCCGAUGAACUGCAUCUUCCCGGUGAAGAACUACCAUGAAGAGAUUGACACCAACAAUGACAUUGAUGUUCUGCUCCUGAGUGCUCUGAAAAACAUCAUCCACUUUGGAGAAGACUACCUUAACCCCUAACUGCAGUAUUCAGCUGUGUGAUCCAUGCUGUUGAAACCCACAGAGCUAAAUGUUUAAUGUUUUGACCAUGUAAUUUAAUAUUGAAUCAUUGUUUUCUGAAGUGUCUCUUUGCUGUGGGCCAAAGUUGAGCUUUAUGUGAUCAGCUUAGCAAACUUCUUUUUUCUGCUUUCAGUGCGUUUAUAGUUAUCUCCUGCUUCUGUGAUUUUUACUCUGUAAAUUUUUAAAAAAUGCAAACAUUGAUUUCAAAUGUAUUCAAGACUUUACAUUCACAAUAAGAAACAGACCUUCUUGGUCUAAACUCCUGUCUGACAUUUGUCUUUAUUUUUGGUGUCAAUGAGUAAAACCUGAUUUUUUUAAUGUUAUUAUAUAGAAAGCUACAUGUUAAAAUAUUUUUUAAAAAGAUGGUAAGAAUAUCUUUGCCUUGAGUUUGUAAUGACCUUCAUGACCUCAGACUUGUUUAGUCAGACAGUUUGGUUUUUAAGUGGACCGAAAAAGAUGGAGCAGAGUGUAACGCCACAAAGCUCCAGCAGAGGGCAGCAGGCUGUCAUCUUCUGAAGCUUUACCCUCUGUUAAGAGCUCACAUGAAAUCUCUGAGAGUUCAUGCAGAUCUACAUUUGAGACAGAAUCAAAUUUGUAAUUCACAUGGUCUGUCAUGAAAUUACUGAAUUUUCCUGGUAAAACGCUGAAAUUGAUCUUUAUAAGAUCACUGUGUUCAUAUCGGAUUUAGUUGUAAAAUAACUGAGGCCCUCUUAAAUAAAUUUUUAACAGUUUUCGAAAUACCUCAGGGAUAAUCACAAAUGUCAGGAGUUUAUUUUCCUAGGGGUCCAGCUUGAGAUCACAAAGAGUGAGACAAAUAUACAGGAGGUGCUUACCAUCAAAUGUAAAUCAUGGAUGUGACUUCAGUCAACAGUUUCUGGUCACUCGUCUUGUUCUAUGGUUUUCAUAUUCUGUCCAAAUAUGAACAAAGUUUGGUUACAGUUUGUCUCACUGUACAACCCCAGUUCAAAAAAGUGAAUACACCAUGUGAAAUUUGAUCAAAAACAGGUUUUGAACAAUUUAUCACUGAGAUAUUCAAUCAUUUGAUGAAAAAUAUGUUGGUUUGUUUUUAAGUUUUAUGCUAGCAGUACAUUUCAAAAAGUUGGAUGAGGACAAUAAAACACUGAAGUCAUCCGAAAGAUGAUCCAGGAGUCCAAAUUAAAUAAUUAAACCCAAUCCCAGAAAAAAUACAAAUAAAUCAAAACUACCGAUUUAAGAGUUCCAACCGCAGAGCAGGAUUGAAAUUUCGGGCAACAGAAGGAGGACAUGCACCCCCCCGACUUCGCCAGUGAAGGCUGGGAGAGAAGAUUUAUCAGUACCCUCACCAAACCAUCACAGCCUAAUGUUGGAGAUAGACAAGCACCUUACCCACGAGAAGCGCACCACGCCCACACAGACUCCAGGAGACAGCCUAGCUCCCGGUCACACCACACUGAACCCAGAGUCAACCACAGCAUACAAUAACUGAAUGGAUCGAUCCAGAUCACAGAUCACCUGAUAUCACCUGCAUACCUGAUUCUAAAGCCCAACACCACUCCACACCACACAGGCAGGACGCCAGCAGCCACUGCACACCUCUGUCUCCAUGAAGGAGGAAGAGGAAGAACCAAUGAGGCAUAUUUAUAAGCACCGGCCGGAAAUCGCCAGCCACACUGCGUCUUAUGGUAGGGAGUAUAGAUCCCUAUCAGACACAUGACAAAUGAGACAAAGACUGUCUUACUGCAAAUACUGACUGAAGAUCAUGGUGCAGUGUCCAUCCAACCUGUAGUUAGAAAAAUUGUAGUUAUUCUGUUUGGAUUGUACUCAAAGAGAACACAGGGAAGAUUAACCAAAGUUAGGAUUUAUGGCUGAGCUGAUAAAACUGACGCUUCCCAGUCAAAAUGUGAUGACUAAUGUUUAUCUGAUCGAGUGGUCCUGCAGUUCUUUCCUGCUGGCAAUAAACGAUUUUGUCUCUGUCUCUUUGAAAUGGAAAGGAUGGAAGGUUUGUCCUUUUGAGAAGGCUUCUUUGUCUUGUAUAGAGACAAGAGGUUUAAGAAAGAUUGUGAUUUGGUGUUUGGGUAGUUUGGGGUGAGAAAGUGGUUGCUUCUGCUACAACAAAGAGGCAGGAGUUGGUGUUAAAGGUCUAAAACAUCUCGUCUCUGGUGAGCAGAUGUAAGCCUUACAUUUCUUUUGGGGGAUGGGUUAAAAAAGUGGUCACCUCUGCUACAACAGAGAGGCAGGAAGAUGAAAGUAAAAUUAAAAUUUACGGGACAGGAUAUCCUGUGUGUGUGACAAAGUAUAACCGAAUUGCAAAUUUGCAUUUCUCAGACUUCAGAAGAGGAAACAUCAGAGUAGAGACUGAAAAAAAAUAAAGUUUUACACUGAUAGAUCUGAGUAUUUUGUGACCCAGAACCCCAACCACGGUAAGACUUUUCUGUUGUUUUCAUCCUGAGAAGUGGAUUUGUCCUUGAACAUUUACAACCUUGAAAUAUUAUUCUUCUUGAGUUAUUGUCAUUUAAAAUGUAUGUUUUUUUGUUUGUUUUUGAUAGAAUAUCAAAUAUUGUUACAAAUAUUCAAAAUUGAAUUUAAGCUUGAAGCUUUGAUGAAAUCUAUCUUAGAUAAGUUAGUGUAAAAUUUAGCUGUAAGACAAAUUUAAAAAACAAAAUACAGUUUCUUUAACACUGUUAAAUCUUCCAUAAGAGUUUUAGUUAAGUUCAGCGAAAUGUCUUAAGUCAAAAAUACAAUGAAAAUUCACAAUUAAAAGAGUCCUAAUUAUAAGAUGGUUGAUACUUAAUGUAAGAAAAAUGUCAUAAAAGUCAAAAUAAAAGCAAGUAAGCCACAGUUGUAAGGUGAUAAGUUAAGAUUAAGAGUCAUAAUUAUGAAAUUUAAAAAGAAAUUAGAUCAUAAGAUAGCCAUAACUUUUAACUUACAAUUAUGAAAAUAUGUCCUGAUUAUAACAAACAGAGUCAGAGUUAUAAGAGAGAACAUUGUGAUUAUAAUAAAAGUUUAAAUUAGGAAACAUUUUGAUGAGCCUGUCAUCAAAUCAAAUUUGCAGACUGUUCAUGAAAACAAAGACUGUCUGAAUGAAAGAGUAUGUUUGAUUAUAAAAUUUAAUGAAGAUGUCUCAGCACUUGGUCUGAGUCCAAGUUUAUUACCCAAACAUUGAGCUUUUAUCUUCUGUGCUCUGAGCUGAAACUUUUAGAGAGGACUUCAGCAGUUUACACAGAGAUGUCCUUAACUGACUUUUCUAUAAGUUGGCACGAACAAUAAGAUGUCACAUUUUGCUGUUUUUAUCCUAAAAGGCUGUGUAGAUGAGACCUUAGAUUUUCAAUCUGAAGAGCUGCUUUACGUUUACUUUCAUCUUGACUCUGGAGCUUGUUAUCUUGACGACCAUUCCCCAGUGUGUCUUUAAAUGGUCACAUAACAUCAAGUGAUUACAUAAUGCCGGCAUAAACAGAGCCAAAAGAAAAGAGAUGUUAUCAAACAGUUUUUUUAAUGAGUUUUGUUUGAGAGCCGGGGCUUUCUUUUUUAAAUGCAUUAUCAAUUUACUACCUGCACAUUCACGAAUGCUGUUAAACUCAUAUACCUUUUAUUUCAUUGAUCAACUUAUUUGUACAGGAAGAGGACAGGAAAGCGCUCACAGGGUGAUGUUUUGGACUUUUUUCAGGAAAUAAAAGCAGAGUUAUAUUUACUUUUUCUUUCACUGAAUCCAUGGGAGGGCGGAAGUCAAAACCUGAUCCAGAGCCAUGUAAUAUUAUUUUUCAAUAUUAAACAAAUCUUUUGUCAAAACAAUUUUUUGGUAACGUUCUGACUUACCUUAAAAUUCGUUUUUCUUUCAGUGUUCAGUGAGCCAUGGCGGAAACUCAACUGGACGUAAGUGCUCUCAAAUGUUCUAUUUUUAUAAAUCACUGUGUGUGUGAUUUACAAAGUGCCAGUGGAUAUACAAAACCAAAUCCUGACAGCAAAGGGUUAACUUUUUUGGGUUCAUUCUGAGUUAAGAUCUAUUUGUUAUGAAGAAUUUAAAAAAGGAUAGGUCUGAGUUAAAGAUUUUUAUUCUUGCAAGAAAGAGCAGUCACAAACAGAAAGUCUGUAAGCAAGUGCUCAAAGGACUGUUCUCUGACUUUUUUAGACACAGGGCGUUACCAGUUUACAUCAGUCAUAACGAAAACAUGCUCAUCUAUGACAAACCGUUGUCAUCUCUUGCUUUCUUUGUUUUGCAGACUGGGUUCAGCUUUUGUUUCUCAGUCUUGACUCAGGGCCAGAACAGAGAUAGACAGUAACAGUGUGUUACACAGCAUAUUUCUAUAAGAGCUGUCCUUAAAUUACCUUUGAUGACAUGAGUACAUGUACAAGGACUGGAUAAGAAGUUAUUUGUCCAGAGUCACCAUUUAUAGUUCCCCCAUACAUCUGGAAGUCCAUCUGUGUGCACGACUUUUAUGAGAUAGUCACAUGACAGUAUCUGUGUGUGCACUGACACCUCUCCUGAGCCAUCUUUUCUCUGCCUCCAUAGUUUCACAUCCUGCACUGAAUGUGCAUCACUUAAUUAUGCAAAACUAAAAUAAUGUGUGGUUGUGAUCAUUUUAUGUCACACAUCAUUCCUCCACUGAACAGAGACAGACGGGGCAUUCUGCUCUAUGUGAAGAACUACAACCCGAGGACCCCAGGGCAGCAGAUCAGAAUUCUUCUUCAUGGGCCAGUUGGAAGUGGAAAGUCCAGUUUCAUCAACUCUGUUAACUCUAGUCUCUUACAUGAAAGACCGUACACCAACGCUUUAGCAAACCACAACUCCAGCAAAAGUUUUACCAAAGUGGUAUGACAACUUUUUGUUGAAACAUAUAGAAAAUGUCUCAAAUAUAUAAUGAUAAUGAAAAAUCUACUAACUCCCAGUGCAUGCCUUUUGUCACAGUUAUCUUUACUUAGAGAUAUUCCUGAAAUUUCCUGGUCUCUAUAGGAUCACUGUGUUCAUAUCGGAUUUAGUUGUAAAAUAACUGAGGCCCUUUUAAAUAGAUUUUUAACAGUUUUCUAAAUACCUCAGGGAAAAUCAAAAAUGUCAGGAGUUUAUUUUCCGAGGGGGCCAGCUUGAGACCACAAAGAGUGAGACAAAUAUACAGGAGGUGCUUACCAUCAAAUGUAAAUCAUGGAUGUGACUUCAGUCAACAGUUUCUGGUCUCCUGUCUUGUUCUAUGGUUUUCAAAUUCUGUCCAAAUAUGAACAAAGUUUGGUUACAGUUUGUCUCAGUAUACAACCCCAGUUCAAAAAAGUGAAUACAACAUGUGAAAUUUGAUCAAAAAUAGGUUUCGGACAAGACAUCAACGCUGAUACUGAAAUAUUCGAUCAUUUGAUGAAAAAUAUGCUGGUUUGUUUUGAAGUGUGAUGCUAGUUUUACAUUGAUACCAAUGCCUCGCAGGAAUUUUAUUUGAAUUGCAUCUUUGGGAAUAGCUGUAAUGAGAAAAAAGUUGACGCGUUCAAUACUUAUUUUCCCCAUUGUAGCUGAAAAGUUUCAGAAUAAUGUCCCUGAGUGUCAAAUUUGAAAGAAUGAGUGGAUUUCAUUAUCUACACUGCAUAAUAUCAUUGGCUCUUGUAGUAUACCAUCUUUAUUUUCUCGAAAGUCAUGUUUUACCACAUGUAUGGUGUCUUUUUUUUUUCACCUCACCAUUUUACACUGUGUACAAUGCACAUUAAGACCAGUGAGACAGGAAGAGAAAGUAAAACUAAAACUGACAGGAUAGGAAAUCUUGUGGGUGUGACAAAGUUUAACCAAAUUGCGUAUGUACAUUUCUCAGACUUCAGAAGAGGACACAUGAAAGUAGAGUCUGAAAAAACAAAAGUUUCACUGAUACAUCUGAGUUUUUUGUGACCCAGAACACCAUCCACGGUAAGACUUUUCUGUUGUUUUCUUCCUGAGACUUGGAUUUGUCCUUGUCCUAUUUUGUUGUUCAAAAUUAAAUUUAAGCUUGAAGCUUUGAGGAAAUCCAUCUUAGAUAAAUUAGAGUAAAAUUUGGCUGGAAGACAAAGUUAAAAAAAAAAUAAAAAAUACAGUUUCUGUAACACUGUUGAGUCUUCCAUAAGAGCUUAAGUUAAGUUCAGCAAAAUGUUUGAAGUCAAAAAUACAAUGAAAAAGUCAAAAGAAUCCUAAUUAUAUGAUGGUUGGUAAUUAUUGUAAGAAAAAUGUCAUAAAAGGUCAAAAUAAAAGGUAGUAAGUCACAGCUGUAAGAUGGUAAGUUAAGAUUUAAAGUCAUAAUCAUGAAAUAAAUUAAAAGUUAUAAGAAAAACUAGGAAGAUGUCACAAUCAAAAGACAAAUAUAAUGAUAUGAAAGAAAGUCAUAAUAUCUUCAUCAUUCUGAAAAGAUUUUUCAGAAUUAUCAGAAAAAAAAACUAUAACAUUGUCAUAAAAUUGUAAGUUACAAUCAUGAAAGUAUGUCAUGAUUAUAACAAACAGAGUCAGAGUUAUAAGAGAGAACAUUGUGAUUAUAAGAAAAGUUUAAAUUAUGAAACAUUUUGAUGAGCCUGUGAUCAAAUCAAAUUUACAGACUGUUCAUGAAAACAAAGACUGUCUGAAUAAAAGGGUAUGUUUGAUUAUCAAAUUUAAUGAAGAUGUCUCAGAGCUGAAACUUUUAGAGAGGACUUCAGCAGUUUACACAGAGAUGUCCUGAACUGACUUUUAUAUGAUUUGGCACGAAAAAUAAGAUGUCACAUUUUGCUGUUUCUAUCCUAAAAAGUCUGUGUAGAUGAGACCUUAGAUUUUCAACAGCAUUUACAGAGGCUGGCAGCUUAUUUAAAUUCUACUGAUCUGAAGAACAGCUUUACUUUUACUUUCAUUUUGACUCUGGAGCUUAUUAUCUUGACGACCAUUCACCAGUGUGUCUUUAAAUGGUCACGUAACACCAAGAGUGAUUACACAGAGCCGAAGGAAAAGAGAUGUUAUCAAACAGUUUUUCAAAUGAACUUUGUUUGAGAGCCAGGGCAUCUUUUUAAAGUGCACUUUCUAUUUGCUACCUGCAUGUUCAGGAAUGCUGUUAAACUCAUUUACCUUUUAUUUCAUUGAUCAAUUUAUUUGUACAGAAAGAGGACAGGAAAGCACUCACAGGGUGAUGUUUUGGAAUUUUUUCAAAUGUAACCCAGAGAUUUCUUUAAAGGAUUUUUUUUCAUAGUUUUUCAGGCUAAUUAUGAUUUUCAGGAAAUACAAGCAAGUAUUUACUUUUUUUUUUCUCUGCAGCCAUGGGAAGGCUGUUUUCAAAACCUGAUCCGGAACCAUGUAAUAUUAUUUUUGAAUAUUAAAUAAAUCUUUUAUCAAAAUACAAUUUUAUUGGAAAAAUUCUGACUAAAACUAAAAUUUGUUUCUCUUUCAGUGUUCAGUGAGCCAUGGCGGCAACUCAACUGGAGGUAAGUGCUCUCUAAUGUGCUAUUUUCCUUAAUCACUGGGUGUGUGAUUUACAAAGUACCAGUGGAUAUACAAAACCAAAUCCUGACAGCAAAGGGUUAAUUUUUUUGGGUUCAUUCUGAGUUAAGAUCUGUUUUUUUUUUUUUUUUUUGUUGUUGUUGUUUUAACUCUUUUGUUUAUUCCUUUGCUUUCUUUUUAUGUAUGUCUGUUUACUUUGGAAAACACUUUUUAAACCUUUUUGAAAGGUGCAGUAUAAAUUCAUUAAUUAUUAGUAUUAUUAAUAUUACCAUUAUAAUUACUAUAACUGUUAUUAUUAUCCCUGUAAUUACUCAGCUACCAACUAAAUACAAAAAUAAGCUAGCUCCAAGAAUUGAUUCAGAGAUGAUUUUGUUGGUCUAAAAAUGAUUCACUUAUACUCCUUCAGUUUUAAUGUUUGGUGCUAGUUCAUGCUCACUGCACACCUCUCUCUUUUCAUACUUGUGUCUCUGCUUUUAUGUUUUGUGCAAACACCUGCUUCCUCCCCCCUGCUGUCCUCUCCUCACACAUGGCUGCAUGACAGUUUUGUUAAACCAGUCUGUCCACCUUUUGCAAUAUCUUCUACUUCCAUGUGCACACAACUCUGCUGCACAUUUAUCUGAGCUGAUAAAAAGUGAAAAUGCUACGAAGAUUUUAAAAAGGAUAGGUCUGAGUUAAAGAUUUUUCUUUUUGCAAGAAGGAGCAGUCACAAACAGAGAUUCUGUAAGCAAGUGCUCAGAGGACUGUCCUCUAAAUUAUUUUUUUAGACACAGGGCGUGACAAGUUAACACGAGUCAAAUUGACAGCAUGCUCAUCCAUGAUAAGCUGCAUCUCUCAGGGUCAGAGCAGCAGAUAUCGACAGUAACAGUGUGUUGCACAGUAUACUUCUAUAAGAGCUGUUCUUAAAUUACCUUUGAUGACAUGAGUACAUGUACAAGGAUUGGAUAAGAAGAUAUUUGUACAGAGUCACCAUUUAUAGUUUCAACAAAGUAAAUGUUCAACAUCACAAUGCAAAGAAACUCUUUGCAGUCUGUUCAGCACAAUCCAAUAAGAGUAACCAAGCCCCAAUACAUCUGAAUGUCCAGCUGUGUGCACGACUUACAUAAAACACAUAAGAAUUGGAAAAGCACUCAGAGAGCGCAGACCUCCGCCAAGCAGCUCAUGUCCCCCCUUAUAUUGUGAUUCACACAGAAACUUUUACCAUUACGUGUCUUUUAUUAACUUUUAUUUGUGUUUAAACUGGUAUGUUCACUGUUCAUAAUGUUCCUAAAACAACAAAGCUCAUAUUAGAUACAUAAAUGCAUGAUUUAUUAUGCAAUAUUUGUAAGCGUACACUUCCUUGUAUCUUCAUUGGUUAUCUUUCGACGCCCUUAUUUUUGUGUGUUCUGGAUCACAGCAUCCGGAAUUUUGUCUGGAUCAGGAUCAACCUUUGACACUUCAUAAAACUCAUUGAGAUCCUUUUGUGUAAUUUUUUACUUAAGACUCUGGACAUUUUUAUAGAGUAAAAUGCAGAAAUUCCAAAAUUUGCCCGAUCUCACAAUGAUAAAGAAUCCUUCAAAAAAUUCCUGGAUCCAGAAGGCGAUCCGGAUCACCACCAAAAUUGGAAAUCCUCCUGGGGCUGAGACGCACCUCUGGUGAAAAUUUCAGGUCAAUCCGUCACUUUCUCCUUAAAGUUGCUAACAGACAAACAAACAAACAAACAAACAAACCAAUGCUACCAAAAACAUAACCUCCUUGGCGGAAGUAACUAAUGUGGGACUUUUAUGAGAUAGUCACAUGACAGUAUGUGUGUGCACUGACAUCUCUCCUGAUCCAUCCUUUCUCUCCCUCCAUAGUUUCACAUCCUGCACUGAAUGUGCAUCACUUAAUUAUGCAAAACUAAAAUAAUUUGUGGUUGUUAUCAUUUUAUGUCACACAUCUUUCCUCCUCUGAACAGAGACAGACGGGGCAUUCUGCUCUAUUUGAAGAACUACAACCCUAAGACCCCAGAACAAGUGAUCAGAAUUCUUCUUCAUGGGCCAACUGGAAGUGGAAAGUCCAGUUUCAUCAACUCUGUUAACAUUCUCUUACGUGAAAGACUGUGCACCAAGGCUUUAGCAAACCACAAAUCCAUCAAAAGUUUUACCAGCAAGGUAUGAUGACUUUUUGUUGGAACAUAAAGGAAAUGUCUCAAAUUUGUAAUGACAGUGACAGGUCUAUAAACUCCCAGUGCAUGCCUUUUGUCACAGUUAUCUUUACUUUUAUUACUUAAAGGGAUGGUUUAGUUGUUUCCAAGUGUGGUCAUUUUAGGUUCUCGUCAUUGGUCAGUGUAUUUGCCAAAGGGAUCCCAGUGACUUGGGCCCCCUUUGCUGAGAUACCAAACAGAGAACUACUGCAGGUGGGCUCAGCUCCACCAAGUGAUUUCAAUCAUUUUAAUCCCCAACCAAAGCACUGUUUUGGUGUCCACCAUAGGUGAGACAUCAAAUUCACCUCAAAAUAAAAGAUAAUGGAGGUAAAUGUGUUUACUUUAUUUAAUGGAUGCUGACAAAAAUAUCUAAAAGAAAUCCUGUAUGGGAAAAAAGAUGCAUUGGUUAUUGCAAUGGUUGUUAAAAUUGAACUGUGAUCAAAUCAUUAGGUUCCUAAAAUGGCUCACCCUAACCAAUAACACUCUCCUCCAUUUGUCUUUAAUAGUACAAAACCUUCAGGACCGACAAUGGGACCUCAGGAGAAUAUUACCCUUUUGUGUUCAAUGACAUCAUGGGCCUGGAAAACAUUGGAGGGGUCCAUCCAGAUGAUGUCAAACUGGCUCUGAAAGGACAUGUCAUGGAAAAUUACGAGGUACAUUUACUGCAAACUUUGCACAUUUUUCUUCCAAAAAGAUUUAUAUGCAUCAUUUAUUAAAUCAGAAUUCUGUCUUAGUUAACAUGUUUUUCACUGUAAUGUUCUUCAAAUGAUUUUAAAACUGUUUUCCAGUUCAAUCCUGAAUCCAAGUUGACUGAGGAGAAACCGUUCUUUGUCCAAAAUCCAUCUGAGAAUGACAAAGUGAAUGUUCUGGUUUGUGUUGUUGAUGCCAACAAAAUGUCCAUAAUACAUGAUGAAACUCUGAAAAAGUUUCGUGACAUCAGGGAGGAAGCCAGUCGCCUGGGUAAGAACAGAAAAGCUUUUCCAAUAUUUUUCUCAAGAGUUAGAUGAACUUUGCAAAAAAACACACAGUUUAAUCUUCGACAGAUCUUCAAACAGUUCCACUAGCUGAUUUUGAUUUAUGUAUCUGGAGAAGAACAGUGGCUUUUGAAAUGUUUUUUUUUCUCUCAAGGGAUUCAAAGUUUUGUGUUUGACAGACAUCCCUCAAGUGGCCAUCCUCACCCACAUUGAUGAGGUCUGUCCUGAAGUCAAGAAAGAUUUAAAAAACGUCUACAAGUCCAUCUUACUGAAGAAGAAGGUAUGCUUACUUGUUGAUUUCAUGGUUUUGUAAAGAAGGAAUCACACUUUAAAAAGUAGUCUACAACUAAGACACCAAUGGGCUCCUUCGCUCAGCACUGAUUUUUUCACACACUGCACUGCAGUCAAAUCAGGUGAUGCAAAAAUAAAGAAGAUUAAAAACUACAAUUUAUACAAAUAAAUCAAUAAUAAUGAAAAAAAUGUUUUUAUGUUUUAAAACCAAAGUUGAUGAAAUGCUUUGACAGAAAAACCCUUGCCCUCCCGAAGCAGAUCAUUCCACAGACCUUAGUGGGCACAAGUUCAUUUGAUCCAAGCCAGAUCUGAAUCUGUGUCCUCUAGUCAGGAUGACAGGAAGAGCUCAGUAUCAUCUGCAUAGCAGUGAUAUGAGAAUCCAUGAGUUUUGAUUAGUGCAUUUAGAUUUUGUAUGUAGAGAAAAGGAGGGGACCAAGAACUGACCCUUGAAGCAUCCCUGUUGUUGGGCACUGUGGUUUGGACUUCUCCUCUUUGUGAUACCCUAAAAGACCUAUUACGAGGCGUAUUACUAUUUUCAUGAAGUAGUCAAAGAGAUCAAGAGAUGUCUGAAGACAGCAAUGCCACACGAUGGCGACAGAAGGCAGCUCCUCAACAAGUGUCGCUGCACUGGGCGUCCUCCACACUCUCUCAUGUAAGCAAAGAUGGAUUUGGUGUGUGGAAUGUUGGAGCCACUAGUAAGACAAACAUCGCUUUCCAGAAAUAAAGACACUCACAUAAAGUUGCACAUAUUCAAACCUCACAAAGGUGGGUUGUGCACACAGAUCACAACAUAAAUUCCAAAAAUGGCAUUAAAAUCGGAACCAUCUGUGCGUAAUGACGCAUCCCGCUCCAUGGUCUGGCUCUUUCUUUCAUAGAUGUUGGCAUGUAAAAUAAAUUUGGCCCACAAAACUGAAUAUUAUAAUAUCCGUAUGUAGGCUUAAAGUACACAAUUCAUCUGAUUACUAAAAUAAAUCAUCCGCUCAGCAGCCGCUGCAGCAGCUGCAGCAGGACAGGGAGAGGACACGGAGACAUGUCCAGGUCGAGAAACAAGAGGAAGAGGAAGAAAGAAAAGGAGGGAGACGAAUUACAUAUCUAGUUAACUUCAUUAUGUGUGUCUAUUUACUAGAUAUUUAAUUUAAUUUAAUGCGGUUUCAGCUGUGUUGAUUCGGUCAGGUUGUGUGUCCAAACGCGUGCCAAACGCACUCAUCAGAUCAGAUAUAGAUCAGAAUGUAUAGAUCUAAAUGUAUGUGCUGACUCAGAUUAUUAGUUGUUGAUGAUUAUUUAUUGCACUGAAAUGUGCCUGACACUGUGGAAACCUGCCGGUGAGGCAUCAGUGACGUAUGCCAAUACGCCACCGGUCUACCAAAAUACUACUAGACCAGCGCCACCUGUGCUGAAAGCUGACCAGGAUUGAAUCGGCGAGCUUUCAGCGCACUUUAUACAACGGUGGCAAGCACAAAAAUGUCACUGCGCCAGCUGAUUCUGUUGACACCUCCCCCUGCCAUGCCACCACGCCCAGCUUGGCGGAUCUCGGUGCGCUUCAGUCCACAAAAAUACCAAACUGGCUGUACGCCGGGCUCCGCCAGACAAAAAUACCACUGCACAUGGUCCGCCGCCUCACCGGUGUACACGAAAAUAGAGCCCUCUGAUUGGCAGUGACUGUCCUGAUGAGACCAACCAAGAAACCAGAGACAUGUAGUUCAGAUCCAGUCUUUAUUUGAGACCAGUGUUUUUCUGUCAAAACAUGCAGCGGCACCGGACUAGUAUCAUUGAUACAGUGUUGAAUUGAAUAGAUGAAUGAAACAGCCAUCCUAAAUCAGGUCUCAUCACUUCUUGUUUUAAAGAAAGGUCACUGCUCUUCCUUCUUUAGAAUUCACUAUCAGCUGCUCAUAUUUUAAAUCUGUUUAACUAGAUGGAGGAGUUCAGUGAAAGGGUGGGGAUCCCGAUGUACUGCAUCUUCCCUGUGAAGAACUACCAUGAUGAGAUUGACAUCAACAAUGACAUUGAUGUUCUGCUCCUGAGUGCUCUGAAAAACAUCAUCCACUUUGGAGAAGACUUCCUUAACCCCUAACUGCAGUAUUCAGCUGUGUGAUCCAUGCUUUUGAAACCCACAGGGCUAAAUGUUAAAUAUAAUGACCAUGUAAGAUAAUAUUGAAUCAUUGUUUUCUGAAGUGACUCUGUGCUGUGGGCUAGAGUUGAGCUUUAUGUGAUCAGCUUAGCAAACUUUUUUUUCUGCUUUCAGUGAGUUUAUAGUUAUCUCCUGCUUCUGUGAUUUUAACUCUAUGAAUCUUUUUAAAAAGUGCAAAAUUUGAUUUCAAAUGUAUUCAAGACUUUGCAUUCACGAUAAGAAACAGGCCACUCUGUGCUGAAUUCUGUCUUACAUUUGUCUUUAUUUUUGGUGUCAAUGAGUAAAAUCUGAUUUUUUUAUGUUAUUGCACCGUGAGUUACAUGUUAAAACGUUUUCAAAAGAUGGUAAGAAUAUCUUUUUCUUAGGUUUGUAAUGACCUUCAUGAUCUCAGACUUGUUUCAGAAUAAAUAUAAAAAUAAGAACUUUAUUAUUCCCCAAAGGGAAAUUCAA